UACAGACGGUCCAAACGUUAUUCGGAAUCACUGGGCUUAAAGAGUUCGUAGGCGGUCAGGAAAGUGGGGUGUGAAAGCCCUCGGCUCAACCGAGGAACUGCGCUCCAAACUCCCUGACUUGAGGAGGCUAGAGGUAAGCGGAACUGAUGGUGGAGCGGUGAAAUGCGUUGAUAUCAUCAGGAACACCGGUGGCGAAGGCGGCAUCCUGGACCGACACUGACGCUGAGGCGCGAAAGCUAGGGUAGCAAACGGG
rnacentral:rRNA from 1 species